UCAAGAAACUUUGGCAAUGCACGAAAGUGUGACCAAGCGACGCCGCGUGAUUGAUGAAGCCCUUCGGGGUGUAAAGAUCUUUUAUGUAUGAGGAAAUUAUUGACGUUAGUACAUGAAUAAGGGGCUCCUAACUCUGUGCCAGCAGGAGCGGUAAUACAGAGGCCCCGAGCAUUAUCCGGAUUUAUUGGGCGUAAAGGGUGCGUAGGUGGUUGUGUUAGUCGAGUGUCAAAACUCCCCGCUCAACGGGGAAGAGGCAUUCGAAACGGCACGACUUGAGUAUGUGAGAGGUGUGCGGAACUCAUGGAGUAGGGGUGAAAUCCGUUGAUAUCAUGGGGAACACCAAAUGCGAAGGCAGCACACUGGCACAGUACUGACACUGAGUGCACGAAAGCGUGGGUAG
rnacentral:rRNA from 1 species